rnacentral:rRNA from 1 species
GACGUAGGGCGCGAGCGUUGUCCGGAUUUAUUGGGCGUAAAGAGCUCGUAGGCGGCUUGUCGCGUCGUCCGUGAAAACUUGGGGCUCAACCCCAAGCUUGCGGUCGAUACGGGCAGGCUAGAGUUCGGUAGGGGAGACUGGAAUUCCUGGUGUAGCGGUGAAAUGCGCAGAUAUCAGGAGGAACACCGGUGGCGAAGGCGGGUCUCUGGGCCUUACCUGACGCUGAGGAGCGAAAGCGUGGGGAGCGAACAGG